rnacentral:lncRNA from 1 species
UCGAGUGCUUACCUCGGGUAUGUAAGAUGUCGUGAGUCGUGGAUGAUACGGAAGCUCCUCGAAUCUUGUGAGUACAAUGUGCAACCUCUGCAGAGUGUAACACUAUUCGAAUAGUCGUGUCCACGAUCUAGGAGAGUUGGGUAAUCCUUAUUAAACUUUGCCUAUAAUUUUUUUCACAAACAAAGUGUGCAUGGGUGAAAAAGAUGAUUGUGGGUGAGAAUGGUGAUAUUUGAGCUAAGUCACAUGACUUGGCAUGACAAAUAAAUGUGGGACGUUCAACCACUUCUUAAAGAUGAUACUUAUAACUUGUUCCUAUGGAUAUUUGCAACUUGUUGAUGCAUACUUUUCCAAGAUUGAUCAUGUCAUUGCACUCAAAAUUAG